AUAUGGUCAUGUAAUUGUUGAUGCUCAUGAAGCACAAGUGUGAUAAAGUGCAGCACCACUAAAUGCUCGGUCAUGAACCAACUCAAACUUUAAGGCUCUCCAGUCAGUUCAAACAGAUCAAGAGAGUCAACUCCUCGUUGUUGUAUCUGUAACAGUCUGCAUAGCUUGCUUGUUGUAAAAUUAAUUUAUUGCUCAUAGAAACAAAUGCACAGUGGCUCCGUGCCUCAGAGGGUCCUGGUUUUGAGCUUGGGUCAGACCAGCUAUGCAGUGGUUGUAUGUUUUUGUUGUGCUGGUGAAGUUUUCUCCGGGAGCUCGAGAUUUCUCAGUGUUGAUGAAUGUACUAGGUCAGGUAGCUUAUCUUGUUUCAAAUCAGUCCGCUAAAAGAGUGUAUAGUUCUCAACAAUUUCAUUUUCUGGUUUGAAGAACAUGCCAAGAUUUGCAAGAAGACUUAAGGCUGAAUGGUGCAACUACCAAUACUUCUCAGGCCUGACUUAGAACAUCAGGUUAUAAAUACCUUCUUAAGUUAGUGCAACCAACCUUUGGAGAAGAACUUCCUUCUUCUAGUCUUUCAGAACUUCGUGAUCGUUCCUGGAGUUCUAGAGUGAAUGGAUCUCCAGGGAAUCUAUCCGAUGGAACCUCUGCGAAGUGCUGUCCUUAAUGGCCUUCUGGUGGUUCAUCCUAUUGGGGUAGAUGGUUAUUCUUGACCUUUUGAGUGGAUAUUUCCCUCUGGACCAAUUCCUCCUAAAGUUCUGAAGUGGAUUGAUUCUCUGGACCUUCUGUGGUGCUAACUGUCAGCCUCAUACCAUCUUGUCAUUAACCACUAAUUGCCUUCCACACUCCCAUCAGCCACGGUGGUCAGGUGUCUGUUCAUAAACCAUAUCAAUGAGGUCUUUGCACUGUCGACAGCUGGAGGUGCCGCACAGUUCCUGCUGCACGGGGAUGCAAAACAAGAAAAAUAAUAUUUAUAGCUAUCUAUAAGAAUGAAUAAAUAUAUGUAAAGAGAUAGAAUCCCAAUGAGCACAAUAUUAAUGUAAGAGUUAUUACUGGAGUAUUGAGAUGUUACAUAUUUUUUAUUGCUUAUAUAUGAAAGUAUACUUUAAAUGCUUUAUUUUGAUCAAAAAAAAGACCAAACUACUGUUCUAUGGUUGUAAUCCUCUUGUGUUUAAGCUCGCUGUAGAUUUUGAGCUAACAUUUGUUUCUCUGUGGAAACGUUGCUUAGCGUAGCCGCUCGCUCACUCGCUCGCGUGUUCAUGUAUCGGUGGCAAUGAAAAAAAAUUCAGCUAAUGCAUUGCUUUGGUAUCGAGCUUUUUGUCGCUGAUUUGUUGCAUCCAUCAGUCUGUGAGCAGAGCGCUGUAGACAAGUGGGUAAAAAGUGUUUGUGAGAGAGGGGAACUAGUCGUUCAUCACCGCCGCAAGGUGGUUCUUCCUCAGACGAGAGCUGCUUCAUAAACUCACUGAGAGAUGUCUCGUCAGAACUGCCUGAUGAUCCUGAUGAAGGGAAAAGCAAAUAGUGAUAAGGUUUAUAUGUCCAGGACUCCAGGCUGAUCUUUUGUCUCACAUGUAGAACACGUCAGGAAGUGCUCAUUUCAGCUGUACUCUUCAGUGAUACUCUGAGUACACUGUGUGGUUCAGGUGAGGGAUCUGCCCAGGAAAUUUCCCAUUAUGUUAGCUUCAUUGUUCUCACAUGAACUACAGACUUCAUGCCAGGACAUUGUAGGUAAAGGUGUUAAUGUUUAACCUGCAGCUCUAUUGGGCGAUUAAGAGCAUAAAUAACUUUUCGUUGUUUCAGCCUGUGGCUGAAUCCUCACACUCCCCUAAAAGGUUCGCACUGUUUCAUCAGGGGAGAAAAAUAAGGUUUGUCAUUACUGACCUUUUAUACUAUUGAAUAUUUUUAUUUUUAUUAUUGACCUUGUCCAGUGAGUGAAGUCUGCAGAACGUUCUGGAAGCUUGUAGAAGACCGCUUUGCAGACAUGAUUGUAGAUCCAGAGAAAUGUCUCUCCAUGUGGACCUUCUGAUAUUGUCUCUGCAUCUAUUGUUUCAACCUUUAGUUUCAUGUCCUGGUUGCAUAGCUGAGCGGCUGGUUCCUCUCUUUGCUGAUUGGCUGUCCUCUCUGUGGUGUGUUGGUGGUCGGUCACUCAUGGUGAAGGUUUGUUUGCAUCUGCUCUCUGCUCUUCUUCAGCAUGUUCAACUAAGUUUGAGGCUUUAGCUAUUUGUGGUGUUGCAGUUAAUGUUUAGCAUGCUGCCAAAAGAUGUAAAAAAAGUGAAGUAUCGUUCCACAUCCAGUUAAGAGUGAGCAAAGAGUGAUUCAUGUCACAGUGCCAUGAAAGCACCGUUCAUCCAAGCACAGCCGGAAAAAACACACCAUGAGAACCAUCAUGUUUUUGUUUUUUAGGAGAUUUUUGAGUCUGAAUGAAGAUGCUUAUGGAUGGAGUGGAUAUGAUGUUGAAUAGAAACCUAUUAUAUACGGAAAAGAUUUUAUCUGUGAUUGUUCUGCUGAACAGACUCAAAGACACAACACAUUCGUCAUGAACCAGAAACCAACCGCAGAACUCUUUACCUGCUACAGACGAUCUGAUUGGACCUAGCACCUGUCAGUCACGCUGUAGGACUCAGCAAUGCCUACAGGAUCAAAUGGUGCUAAUUCAAUGACUCAAGGUGUCUGAAACGAUCAGAUCACCCCAAAAAUGGAAAAUAAUCCUGCAGGUGUCCGAAUAGCAAAGAAAAGUCUUCUCAGCAAACUCUUCAUAAACUUCUCCUGAAUGUUUCUGUUUUCCAGAGACUCUGUUUUCUAGACCUGUGAUCCUCAGUAAGAGUCCAGCAGAUGAGCAGACGCUCAGAGGAUGAUUUUUCAUGACAAAACUACUGAUCAGCACUCUGAGACCUGCUGAAGUUUGCGGGGAUCACGGUUGCUCCCCUCCCUGCAGGCCGAGCCGGCCCAGUUGCUGUCGUGGACAAAAAAUAUGAAACUGUGGAGGUAUUGUACAGACGAGACAGGAGCUGUAACUUUCCAUUCCGACUUUAUUCAUCUCCACACAACAACUGAACACAUUGUGCCAAAAACCAGCAGAACCUCUCCUCCCGACCUUGGUGUGAGUAGAGCCCUCUGGUGGGCCACCACAAAACUGCAAAAACUGCUGCAGAGCAGAUCAGCAGCUGCAGGUGGAGGUGAUGGAGUCACGGCACAGGAAGCAUGUGGUCAGCUGAUCAUUAGCUUUAGUGGGGAGAACUUUGAAAACAGAUCUUUGAGACAGAUCAUUUGACAAACAGAUCUUGCGCAGACUGCAGCUGUCGGUGGAUCUCCUUCAGAAGCUUUUAAAACAAACCUGCUGCUGCAUUGGCACAUUUUUAAAACUUAUCAGUUUCAACUUUGUUCUGUUGUUUUUGAACAGAGUUUAAAGGAUCUGAUAAUUAUUUGUUUCAAAAUUUUAAACCGAUUCUAUGUUUUAGCUACUAUUCCAGCUUUUCCUGUUAUCUCAAACUGCCCGCUAAAAUAAGAGCUUGGACAAGCUUUCCCCUGCCAAAAUCAGUAGCUGUAUCUGCACCAGCAAUUGAAACUGUUUUCAGGUGUUGACCAUUGACCUGCAGAGAGCUUUGCUUUCGCCAGGGUUUCAGAUUUCCCCUCUGUCAGUAGUUUUGUCAUGAAUGAACUUCUGUACGGCUGCUCCGUUUCCACGCACAGCCUCGCCGAUUUACACACUUACACCAGGUGAGAGCAGGCCCCAGGUGUGGUUCAGGUAACUUGGUGAUGCUGCUUCAUGGAAACAGAGCCUGGGGGAGUUCUUUUAAUGUCGAGUCAGUGAGCUGGGAACACUGCCAGCAGCCUCACCUGUUCCACAGUGGCCAGAUGAGUGUGCUGCUAACCUGUGCGGGUCACAUUGAUAGGAUCUGUUCUACCCUGCCUCUGUGUGAGCUGCACCCUGUGGUGUUUCAAGUCUGACAGACUGUGUUCAAAACAUUAAAGAGACAUGUUCAG
ensembl:lncRNA